CCUACGGGAGGCAGCAGUGAGGAAUAUUGGUCAUUGGUCGGGAGACUGAACCAGCCAAGCCGCGUGAGGGAGGAAGGUACAGAGUAUCGUAAACCUCUUUUGUCAGGGAACAAAGGCGGGGACGUGUCCCCGGAUGAGUGUACCUGAAGAAACAGCAUCGGCUAACUCCGUGCCAGCAGCCGCGGUAAUACGGAGGAUGCGAGCGUUAUCCGGAUUUAUGGGGUUUAAAGGGUGCGCAGGCGGUCUGUUAAGUCAGCGGUCAAAGCCCGGGGCCAAACCCCGGCCCGCCGUUGAAACUGGCAGUCUCGAGUUGGAGAGAAGUAUGCGGAAUGCGCGGUGUAGCGGUGAAAUGCAUAGAUAUCGCGCAGAACUCCGAUUGCGAAGGCAGCAUGCCGGCUCCACACUGACGCUGAGGCACGAAAGCGUGGGUAUCGAACAGGAGUAGAUACCCUUGUAGUC
rnacentral:rRNA from 1 species